rnacentral:rRNA from 1 species
UUCCAGACUCCUACGGGAGGCAGCAGUGGGGAAUAUUGCACAAUGGGGGAAACCCUGAUGCAGCGACGCCGCGUGAGUGAAGAAGUAUUUCGGUAUGUAAAGCUCUAUCGGCAGGAAAGAAAAUGACGGUACUUGACUAAGAAGCCCCGGCUAACUACGUGCCAGCAGCCGCGGUAAUACGUAGGGGGCAAGCGUUAUCCGGAUUUACUGGGUGUAAAGGGAGCGUAGACGGUGAAGCAAGUCUGAAGUGAAAGGCGGGGGCUCAACCCCCGGACUGCUUUGGAAACUGUUUGACUGGAGUGCAGGAGAGGUAAGUGGAAUUCCUAGUGUAGCGGUGAAAUGCGUAGAUAUUAGGAGGAACACCAGUGGCGAAGGCGGCUUACUGGACGGUAACUGACGUUGAGGCUCGAAAGCGUGGGGAGCAAACAGGAUUAGAUACCCCAGUACAC